UCUCCAGACUCCUACGGGAGGCAGCAGUGGGGGAUAUUGCACAAUGGGGGGAACCCUGAUGCAGCGACGCCGCGUGGGUGAAGGAGCGUUUCGGCGCGUAAAGCCCUAUCGGCAGGGAAGAAGGAGGACGGUACCUGACUAAGAAGCCCCGGCUAACUACGUGCCAGCAGCCGCGGUAAUACGUAGGGGGCAAGCGUUAUCCGGAUUUACUGGGUGUAAAGGGCGCGUAGGCGGGAUGGCAAGUCAGAUGUGAAAUCCAAGGGCUCAACCCUUGAACUGCAUUUGAAACUGUCGUUCUUGAGUACUGGAGAGGUUGACGGAAUUCCUAGUGUAGCGGUGAAAUGCGUAGAUAUUAGGAGGAACACCAGUGGCGAAGGCGGUCAACUGGACAGCAACUGACGCUGAGGCGCGAAAGCGUGGGGAGCAAACAGGAUUAGAUACCCCGGUA
rnacentral:rRNA from 1 species